rnacentral:rRNA from 1 species
UACGGAAGGCAGCAGUGGGGAAUAUUGCACAAUGGGCGAAAGCCUGAUGCAGCUAUGCCGCGUGUAUGAAGAAGGCCUUAGGGUUGUAAAGUACUUUCAUCGGGGAGGAAAAAAACAAAACUAAUAAUUUUAUUUCUUGACGUUACCCGAAAAAGAAGCACCGGCUAACUCCGUGCCAGCAGCCGCGGUAAUACGGAGGGUGCUAGCGUUAAUCAGAAUUACUGGGCGUAAAGAGCACGUAGGUGGUUUUUUAAGUCAGAUGUGAAAUCCCUGGGCUUAACCUGGAACUGCAUUUUGAAACUGAAAUACUAGAGUAUCGUAGAGGGAGGUAGAAUUCUAGGUGUAGCGGUGAAAUGCGUAGAUAUCUGGAGGAAUACCUGUGGCGAAAGCGGCCUCCUAAACGAAUACUGACACUGAGGUGCGAAAGCGUGGGGAGCGAAACAGGGAUUAGAUACC